CCCUUAGAUGUUCUGGGCCGCACGCGUGCUACACUGAGUGGAUCAGCGGGUCAGGUUGCGCGAAAGCGUUUCCUAAUCUUGAAAUCCGCUCGUGAUGGGGAUUGACGGUUGCAAUUUUCCGUCAUGAACGAGGAAUACCUUGUAAGCGCGGGUCAUCAUCCCGCGCUGAAUACGUCCCUGCCCUUUGUACACACCGCCCGUCGCUCCUACCGAUUGAGUGGUCCGGUGAGGCUUUGGGAUCUGAGCGGAAAGAGCGUUUCGCUGUUUCUGCUCGGAAAACUCAGUCGAACCUUAUCAUUUAGAGGAAGGAGAAGUCGUAACA
rnacentral:rRNA from 1 species